GAUGAACGCUGGCGGCGUGCCUAAUACAUGCAAGUCGAGCGAACACACGAGGAACUUGCUCGUCUGACGUUAGCGGCGGACGUGUGAGUAACACAUGGAUAACCUCCCUAUAAGACUGGGAUCACUUCGGGAAACCGGAGCGCAUACCGGAUAAUAUAGUGAACCGCGUGGUUCAAUAGUGCAAGAGGGUGUUGCUGUCGCUUAUAGAUGAGUCCGUUCCUGAUUAGGUAGUUGGUAAGGUAACGGCUCACCAAGGCAACGAUGCGUAGCCGACCUGAGAGGAUGAUCAGCCACGCUGGAACUGAGACACGGCCCAGACUCCUACGGGAGGCAGCAGUGGGGAAUUUUGGACAAUGGGCGAAAGCCUGAUCGAGCAAUGCCGCGUGAAUGAAGAAGGUCUUCGGAUCGUAAACUUCUGUUGUUCGGGACGAACAAAUGCUUAUGUAACCCCGGACGUAAUGACGGUACCUAAACAGAAAGCCCCGGCUAACUACGUG
rnacentral:rRNA from 1 species